rnacentral:rRNA from 1 species
UACGAGGGGGGCAAAUGUUGUUCGGAAUCACUGGGCGUAAAGGGAGCGUAGGCGGGUUUCUAAGUCAGGUGUUUAAUCCCGGGGCCCAACCCCGGACAGGCACUUGAAACUGGGAAUCUUGAAUAGUGGAGAGGUCAGUGGAAUUGGGGGUGUAGCGGUGGAAUGCGUAGAGAUCGGAAGGAACACCAGUGGCGAAGGCGGCUACCUGGCCCAAUACUGACACUGAGGCACGAAAGCGUGGGGAGCAAACAGG